rnacentral:misc_RNA from 1 species
GAUGAAGAACGUAGCGAAAUGCGAUAAGUAAUGUGAAUUGCAGAAUUCAGUGAAUCAUCGAAUCUUUGAACGCAUCUUGCGCUCCUUGGUAUUCCGAGGAGCAUGCCUGUUUGAGUGUCAUCAAGUUCUCAAACUGCAUCCAUUUGAAGGGUGUGGAUUUGGAUUAUGGAGUUUGCAGGCUCUUUGAUUGAGGUCUGCUCCUCUGAAAUGUAUUAGUGGCGAUGUGGAAAAGCUACUGUGGGUGUGAUAAAUAUCUAUGCCUUAUGCAGUGUUCUGCUAUGCCGCUUGCAGGGAGGAAUUUCAUUUUUGACAAACUUGACCUCAAAUCAGGUAGGACUACCCGCUGAACUUAAGCAUAUCAAUAAGCGGAGGA